rnacentral:rRNA from 1 species
AGAUUGAACGCUAGCGGGAUGCUUUACACAUGCAAGUCGAACGGCAGCGCGGACUUCGGUCUGGCGGAGAGUGGCGAACAGGUGAGUAAUAUAUCGGAACGUGCCCAGUAGCGGGGGAUAACUACGCGAAAGCGUGGCUAAUACCGCAUACGCCCUACGGGGGAAAGGGGGGAUCGCAAGACCUCUCACUAUUGGAGCGGCCGAUAUCAGAUUAGCUAGUUGGUGAGGUAAAGGCUCACCAAGGCGACGAUCUGUAGCUGGUUUGAGAGGACGACCAGCCACACUGGGACUGAGACACGGCCCAGACUCCUACGGGAGGCAGCAGUGGGGAAUUUUGGACAAUGGGGGAAACCCUGAUCCAGCCAUCCCGCGUGUGCGAUGAAGGCCUUCGGGUUGUAAAGCACUUUGGCAGGAGAAACGGCGCCGCCUAAUACGGGCGUCGACUCGACGGUACCUGCAGAAUAAGCACCGGCUAACUACGUGCCAGCAGCCGCGGUAAU